AUGGCCUCCGCCUCCAAGCAGCAGAGCAUGUACCCGGAGGUACCCCAGUCCCACCCCGACCACAACACCGCCUUCCAGUACAAUCCCGCCGCCGCCAGCAGCACCGGCGGCGAGUCGCUCUACCCCACCAUGGACCCGCACGAGAUGGCCGAGAACCUCUUCCCAGCCGACGCGGCCGAGGACGCCGCGCCGGCCCCGCCCACGGUGGAGGAGACCCUCGUCGACGUGCCGGGCGCGCAGCUCCACCUCGUCGACCCGGACCGCAGCCUCGACCUCGGCGCCGGCACGCUCUCCAUCGUGCGCCUCCGCCAGGGCGACCACUGCGUCGCCGUCCUCGCGCGCCUCACCCCGGACAAGGCCCACAAGCGACGCGGCGUCUUCGGCUUCCUCAGCAGCGGCCGCUCCAGCGACGCGCAGGAGCCCGUGCAGUGGCCGCUCGCCGGCGACGUCGCCGUCGUCAAGCUCGACGCCGGCCACUACUUCUUCUCGCUCCACGUCCCGCACUCGGACCACCCUGACGACAAGGAGGACGCCGAGGCGGAGACGGACGCGGACCGGGAGGCGGCGCUGAGCUACGGGCUCACCGUCGCCGGGAAAGGGCAGGAGCAGGUGCUGGAGGAGCUGGACAGGGUCCUCAAGGAGUACACAACCUUCUCCGUCAAGCAGGUCGACGAGGAGGCCGGCGGCAAGUCGGAGGUCAUGGACACUAGGGCGGUGUCGGAGAUCACGCCGGAGGAGGCUGCCGGGGACAAGAAGGAGGAGAUUGAGGAGCAGUCCGCGGCGUUCUGGACGACAAUCGCGCCCAACGUGGACGACUACAGCUCGUCGGUGGCGAGGCUUAUCGCCAAGGGCUCCGGGCAGCUGGUAAGGGGCAUCAUCUGGUGCGGGGACAUCACAGCUACGGGCCUCAAAUGCGGGGAGGCGGUGUUGAAGAAGGGCGCGGGGGCGAACGGCAAGCAUACGCAGGUGAAGCCGAGCUCCCUCAAGAGGAUGAAGAGGGCCAGAAGGGUCACUAAAAUGUCGAACAAGGUAGCAAAUUCAAUUCUCUCAGGUGUUCUCAAGGUCUCGGGAUUUGUUACCAGCACUGUAGUCAACUCCAAACCCGCACAGAAGUUCUUCAAGUUAAUGCCUGGCGAAGUUAUUCUUGCUUCGCUGGACGGAUUUGGUAAAGUUUGGGACGCUGUUGAGGUGUCUGGAAAGAACGUGAUGAAAACAUCGUCAGUUGUCACUACUUCAGUUGUAACGCACAGGUACGGUGAUCAGGCAGGAGAGAUCACACAGGACUACCUCCACGCCACCGGAAACGCUCUUGGGGUCGCGUGGGCCGUCUUCAAGAUCCGGAAAGCGCUCGACCCAAAGGGGCACAUCAAGAAGUCGUCCCUGGCGAGCUCGGCGGCGCACGCUGUGGCUAAGCAAUCGAUCAGCCUGCAGAAGAAGAAGUAA
rnacentral:rRNA from 1 species